rnacentral:rRNA from 1 species
CCUUUGACGUUAGCGGCGGACGGGUGAGUAACACGUGGGUAACCUACCUAUAAGACUGGGAUAACUUCGGGAAACCGGAGCUAAUACCGGAUAAUAUUUCGAACCGCAUGGUUCGAUAGUGAAAGAUGGUUUUGCUAUCACUUAUAGAUGGACCCGCGCCGUAUUAGCUAGUUGGUAAGGUAACGGCUUACCAAGGCGACGAUACGUAGCCGACCUGAGAGGGUGAUCGGCCACACUGGAACUGAGACACGGUCCAGACUCCUACGGGAGGCAGCAGUU